rnacentral:rRNA from 1 species
GCUUGUCUCAAAGAUUAAGCCAUGCAUGUCUAAGUAUAAACAACUUUGUACUGUGAAACUGCGAAUGGCUCAUUAUAUCAGUUAUAGUCUACUCGACAGUACCUUACUACUUGGAUACCGUAGUAAUUCUAGAGCUAAUACAUGCAUAAAUACCCAACUGCUUGUCGGACGGGUAGCAUUUAUUAGAUUGAAACCAAUUCACUUCGGUGAUUUUGUGUUGAAUCAUAAUAACUGUGCUGAUCGCUCUAAGCGAUAAGUCGAUUGAGUUUCUGCCCUAUCAGCUUUGGAUGGUAGGAUAUGGGCCUACCAUGGCGUUAACGGGUAACGGGGAAUUAGGGUUUGAUUCCGGAGAGGGAGCCUUAGAAACGGCUACCACAUCCAAGGAAGGCAGCAGG